GUGAGUGCUGCAGGGCCGCGCGCUGACGU
rnacentral:miRNA from 7 species